rnacentral:tRNA from 1 species
UGGGGGAUCGUCUAAUGGCAGGACGGCGGAUUCUGGCUCCGUCUAUCAAGGUUCGAAUCCUUGUCCCCCAGCCA